rnacentral:rRNA from 1 species
GGACUACUAGGGUAUCUAAUCCGGAUUGCUCCCCACGCUUUCGCGCCUCAGCGUCAGGCCAGGCCCAGGCAGCCGCCUUCGCCACUGGUGUUCCUCCGGAUCUCUACGCAUUCCACCACUACACCCGGAAUUCCACUGCCCUCUGCCCACCUCGAGCCCCGCAGUCUCGCCCGACCCCUCCCAGUUGAGCUGGGAGAUUUCACGGCCGACUUGCGGGGCCGCCUACGCGCGCUUUACGCCCAAUGAAUCCGGACAACGCUCGCCCCCUACGUAUUACCGCGGCUGCUGGCAC